UGGAGGACACGUUCUUUGUACAUUCCUUUUACCGAGUAAAAUGACAGAGUUUGCAUGUUUUCAUGUUUCUGGACUGUAAAAAUUGUUCAAAUUAAAUAUUUCUAGUAGUGUGUGAGAACUUGGCCUACAUAUUCAAAAGACAUUUCACGAUGAAAAAAGGAACUAAAUAGGAAUUUUUCAAAAUGUCUGAAUGUCUAAAAUAGUAAUAAAAUGUGUUGUUGUU